rnacentral:rRNA from 1 species
AUUGAACGCUGGCGGCAGGCCUAACACAUGCAAGUCGAGCGAGCGGCGGACGGGUGAGUAAUGUAUGGGGACUGCCCGAUAGAGGGGGAUAACUACUGGAAACGGUGGCUAAUACCGCAUACUGUCGGAUAACCCAUAUGGGAUUAGCUAGUAGGUAAGGUAAUUGCUUACCUAGGCGACGAUCCCUAGCUGGUCUGAGAGGAUGAUCAGGCCAAACGGGAACGAGACACGGCCCAGAACCCUACGGAGGGCGGAGUGGGGAAUAUUUGACAAAUGGGGCAAAGCGUAUGGAGGCCAGGCGGGGUGAUGAAGAAGGGCCCUGGGGUUGAAAGUACUUUCAGUCGGGAGGCGUUACCGACAGAAGAAGCACCGGCUAACUCCGUGCCAGCAGCCGCGGUAAUUC